GUGAGGAAUUUUGCGCAAUGGGGGCAACCCUGACGCAGCGACGCCGCGUGGAGGACGAAGUCUUUCGGGAUGUAAACUCCUGUCAGUGGGGACGAUAAUGACGGUACCCACAGAGGAAGCACCGGCUAACUCCGUGCCAGCAGCCGCGGUAAGACGGAGGGUGCAAGCGUUGUUCGGAAUUACUGGGCGUAAAGCGUAUGUAGGCGGCAAGUUAAGUUCAAUGUUAAAGCCCACGGCUCAACCGAGGAGAUGCAUUGAAUACUGGCUAGCUAGAGGGUGUUAGAGGAAGACUGAAUUCCCAGUGUAGCGGUGAAAUGCGUAGAUAUUGGGAGGAACAUCGGUAGCGAAAGCGGUCUUCUGGGACAUACCUGACGCUGAGGUACGAAAGCGUGGGGAGCAAACGGGAUUAGAUACCCCGGUAGUCC
rnacentral:rRNA from 1 species